GAUAUAAGUGUUUUAUGGCACUUUUUAAAUCCAUAUCCACCUUGUGUGCAAUGUCAGUCGAUCUUCUUCAUGGAGAUCGACCAAACAUCAACCUUUAUCUUUUAACUCUUUGUCUGAAAAAUAUUAUGAAUAAACAAUUCAAAAUA
rnacentral:misc_RNA from 1 species